UUCAUGUGUCUUGAUCUGCCGCAGAUAGUGGCGAUAUGACAAUAGGGGGUCUCAGAGGGAGGAAGGCGAGGAUGGAUGAGCAAAUCCUGAAAGUUAACCUGUGGCACGAUGAGGUCGUGAAAGUUGUAGGACAAGCUAUGGUGUGCAUCAGUGUUGAGAUUCUCUGGAACACUCCCGCCUUGUGGGACUUCAGGCCUGACCGAGCUUGCCAGUGGUGUAGUUUCAUGACAUGGACUGUUGAGAUCGGCUGCUUUCCUGUCUGCUUCCAUUCCAGGAACGCGAACUUGAGGCAGUACGCAGCCGAGAGGACCUCAAUAUGGUAGGAGCGCAUGAUGUCUGGGUUGUCCGGGGUUGUUGUAUCGGUAAAGCGGUAAGCCAAGUGGGCGAAUAGCGCGAGGUGCCCGUGUCGGACAGUGAAAGUGGCACACGACAUCGCGUUUGUGCUUUUUCCGGAGAGCCUGGUCCAUCAGGAACGUGUGGCGUAGCAUCCCGUCAACAAAGUUCCUCCGCUGGUUUACGGAGCUACAUAUUCCGUAAGAACCCUGUUCCCACGGGGUACUACAUAGAGGACGGAGACGGGUGAAGGUGGGUCAAAAUAGUAUAUCAGGCGAAAGCUCGAUUUGUUGUGUGAAUGGAGCCUGUGUAUAUCGUACUGUGCCUCUGGUGUUUACCAGAGGAUGAUGGAUUUCCUGGUUGCUUUGCCGUAGCCGUCUACGCAGUUCUUUAUGGAUGAUGGCUGGAGUCCUAUUCUCACUAACCGUGUACAGGUGGACACUUCUGGCCUUGUCAAUUCCUCUGCGAUAUCCGCACACAGUCGUCUCUCCCACGCCUUUGUUUAUGGGUGUUUAUAGUGCUGUAGUAGUAGCUUAGUUACCGUCUCUUGGAAGUUCCAUCACGUCACACAAGUGACGGGCCGUGAAUGUCCAAGUAUUAUGGAGACUGAAGAGUAGUCGAAGUAUACCACGCAUUUGUCAUCUGAGUUAUUGCCUUUGGGAUUUGUUUGCACUGAAAGUACCACGCACUGCACGUUCCCUGGCAGUCGAGGCUCGAGAUGACCUCAUCGGACUCCGAGCACAGCCGGUUGGGAGCUGCUGUAGGACUAAACACUGGAGAGCAGUGUGGUCGUGGAAGGGUGACGAGACGCGAUGUCUCUGGUGGGAAAGAGAUAUAGUGUGACCAUAUGUAAUUGUGAACCGGGAAUAAUUGUAGUGACGAGCGGGGUGCUGCAGUCAUAUGUUUGUUAAACAUAUCGAGGAUUGAAACUAGAGUGGAAUGAGAAUUGAAAUUAGUUGUGUUGCAGUUUAUGGAAAUGCGCUUCAUGUGCUGUAUCUCGCAACCACCUGUGUCCGGCCGUAUUACAGUUGGCCUCGUGUGUUAUUUGAUGAAACGAUGGAGACCGCAGGAAAGAAGGGGGAGUCGCUGUUUGCAUGGUCGACGGAACCCAGCGUCCUCAAGGAGCGCGUGGUUGUGAGUGAAGCUGGGUUUGGAUCCGCUAGAGUCGUGACCAAGUUGGAGUGGCUCGGCCCGUGGGACAGCAUGUCACAGUGGCGCGCCCAAUGGAAUAACCUGCGCACCAUCUCUGUCGGUCCGGACGGUUUUCUGUUUUUGUUUCGGUUCCACAGGCGCCGAUGAUGGCGCAGCGGCGCGAUGGCCAGCGACCGCUAAUGCGUACCAUCUCCGGUCAGAGAAGAGGUGGCUUGCGGGAGCGACUGUGUCGCGCUUUGUCAGUAUAUGACAUAACGAGCGGGCAAAUGUGCGUUGUCCUGCCGCUAUGCGUGCAGAUGUCGUGGAAUUGAAUGGUUUGGCGUGGCGCUUUCCUAACUGAGAGAAUAAUGUGUAGGCGGUGGCGGGCAACGUCCUUCCAUGUUGUUUAUCGAACGGUUGCACCACAAUUUUGCAGCUUCAGAAAGUAUUAAUGGGCAUGGCUCUCGAAGGGCACCAUCAUCAAUAGUGAAGUGCGAACUGGUAGUGGACAUGGCAGCCGUGCACAGUUCAUUUGCUGUUCAUUCCCUGGGCCGAAUCCGCCGGCAUGAUUACGGCAACCACUCGGCUUUGAGUGGGACGCAUGAAGGUGGGUUCAUGAAGUGCGAAGCUACCAUUGUCGGCCGUUGACCAAACUGGACACACGGGAACCGGUG
rnacentral:lncRNA from 1 species